rnacentral:rRNA from 1 species
UACGUAGGGUGCGAGCGUUGUCCGGAAUUAUUGGGCGUAAAGAGCUCGUAGGCGGUCUGUCGCGUCGGAUGUGAAAACUCGGGGCUCAACCCCGAGCCUGCAUUCGAUACGGGCAGACUAGAGUUCGGUAGGGGAGACUGGAAUUCCUGGUGUAGCGGUGAAAAUGCGCAGAUAUCAGGAGGAACACCGGUGGCGAAGGCGGGUCUCUGGGCCGAUACUGACGCUGAGGAGCGAAAGCGUGGGGAGCGAACAGG